AAGGGACUUCCUUGGGGACACAGGCAAUGCAGCAGGCUUGCGUUCAAGCCAAUGAAAAUGGCUUCAUCCUGCUCUGAUCCUGUCUUGGAGUCACAGGCAGGACUGGACCUGAGGCCUCCAGGAUUUCCACUGCAAACCCCGAUAAAGCAGAGAUGGACCCAAGCUGGGAAAUUUGGUUUCAAAUCCAAAGUUCCCCAGAAUGAAGGGACCAGAGUUUGGAUCCUAUGUUCUGAAUUAGAACCUUUCAUCAUGUGGGGACUCAAAGACAUGGAGGCUCACUUUGCUCACCUCUGAAAUGCAACCACUUCUGGGGUAAAUGCAGCAACUGUUUAGCAGCCCACUGCAUCUCUACACUUCACUUUAGGACAUGGAAGUAAAGAAGACAACUCUCCUGUUGGAACAAGCGAAUGUCUAUUCUCAAAGUGGAUUCCUUAUAAACUGGUCUGUAGGUGAGAAUCUCUCUCAAAGCCCCUAUGACUAAGAUGACUUUCCUUGCCUCACUGAUGUCUCAGUACAAUAUUUUAAGC